GUCGCAUUAUAUGUGGGAGAGAUCUCUCCGGGUGGGAGAUGUACAGCAGGAUAUCAUCUGCGAAUGCCCCUAUCUUUAUUUGGCGGCCAUGACAAUCCACUCCUGUUAUUUCUGCUCGGGUUCUGAUCCCUGUGAGUAGCGGCUCCAAGGCUAAAACAUAAAGUAGGGGAGACAGGGGGCACCCCUGUCGUGUGCCAUUAGUAAUUUUAAAGGGGUUAGACAGAAAACCCGCUUGUAGUACUCUCGCAGUGGGGUGUGAGUAUAGGG